UGGAAAGAUAACCUCCCCUCCAUCUCCUUCUGCAAUAGAAAUAACCUCUUGUUUGAAGAAGCAGAAUGGUGGUGGCUUAAUAUCACACCUAAAGUAUAUUAGCUUGAGGGAACAGAGGGUAGAAGAAAUCCACUGCACUUUUUCUUUUAUCUCAGACUCUUCUGCUCAGGUGAUAUUGGUGAGGCUUCCCUGAUCAUCUAGGUUUGGAAUUAACACUUUUACUGAAAUGAACGGGGCACCUCAAAGCAUUGUCUUUAGGCUCUAAGCUUUAGUUUUUAUCCUACAUGACUCCAGGCGUCAGAGUGUAUGGUGCUUCUUACUUCAGCCUGAAAUAGUAUGGGCACUUUGGAAAAAUCCCUGUUUUGAGUGAAUUUGGAAAAGCAGCAGUGUAAGCUUUUUAAUUUCCACCUAUGCACACAAGAGUAAUAAAACUUGAAUGAUACUUGUUUGGCCUGAUAGACUCCUCCUCUUCCUACCAAAAGGAAAUGCUAUUUCCUAAAGGGCAAUAUUAAAGCCAGCAUUUCUGUCCUGUAAAAUUUGUUACAGAACUGCGGUCCAGCAUUCAGGAAAACUAAAUUUCCAACAGGAAGGAAACUGGUCCAAGUAAACUGGCACAGCACCAGAAUUUUACGUCUGUCUUAAUGAUUAUGGGGCAUUGUCCGUUUUAACCUGGGUUGCUUGUUUCCCUCCAAAUUUUUGUCCCCAUAUAAUUGUACCCCCAGUUAUCACACAGGCAGUCUCUUCACUGAUGAGGAAUAAAAUACCACAUUAAUUUCUAUCCUCUUCUUCUGAGAUGAAAUUCUCUGCUUCAGACCAUUGAUAUUUUAUCACCUCACUUCAGAUUAUUGUUUCUUGUCAGUUUUAAUGUGCUAUGCUAUUUGAUUUUCAUGUUUCAUUUUGUUCACCUACUUUUUCUCAUCACAAGCCUCACACUUGAUCCUUGGUACCAAUCACUGCAUAUUUGCUUCACCACCCUAGCUCCUGUUCUUAUGUUUUUUAAUGAGAUUCAGGUUUACUGCCAAGAUUUAACAUCACAACUGAAUGUUAUCCAGUAAAAUGGGAGAGACAAAGAUCCCACCAGUUUUCCACAACACCCUCUACAAAUCUCUAUCAACUCUUUUAAAGUCCUAUUUUUUUAAUGCAGCUGAAGUUAAGCAUUUUUGCACAUAUUGUUGGAAACAUUUUAAAUGUGAGGGUAUUAAUUAAUCGACUGCGCUCAUGCACACGCACACACACGCUCAAGCCUUUUCUGGAUGAAAUUACUGUUUUUCAGAGCAAAUCUGAUCUUGCAGCUCACCCACAACCACUAAUCCACAUUGUUUCCAUACUGGGGAAAUGGUGACAAGGACUAUAGUAUUCAUAUGCAACAUCAGGGGUUAGACUAGAUGGCCUCCUGAGGUCCCUUCCAACCCUAAUUUUCUAUUCAUUUUCUGUGAUUGAAUUAGCAGCGAUUUAAAAAGAUAAAUGUUAAAAUACCCAAAAAUACAUUAGAAAAUGUACUUAAAAAAUUAAAUGCGGAAGAGAAUAUAUUAAGGAACGUGAAUCCAAAGCUUUCAAAACAAAGCAAACAAGUUACCAGAAGUAAGGCCUUUCCAUGAUAAUGCCUGAAGGUUUCUGAUUCCUUUGUAAAUAUAAGCUGAUCUGUUUUACAUUUGAAUGAAUAUAGGUAAAGUACUGUAUAUAUGCAGAUAAAAGCAGCCUACUGAUGUAAAAAGAACGUGCAAAGAAUUUAUUAAAUUAUUUCCUAUGGAGAACAUACAAGUUUAUCAUCAUUUAAAUGUAAACCUCUUUGAACAAUUGAAGUGUACUGUAUAUGUUGAUGUGUGUAUAAAGUGUACAUUACAAAGCACAAGAAAAAGUGCCAUUAUUAACAGUAUUAUUUUCUCACAAAAUUAAAUCUAGUAUUUUUGAAUUAAUCUAUGGCUUGUAGCCCUCUUGUUAAAGGGCAAAUUACGUAAAAUCAAUAAACUAACAGAAUUGUUCAUCUCU